rnacentral:rRNA from 1 species
GCAAUAUUUCAUUGACGUACAAAAUUAGUUACCUCAAUUUAACUACAUAUGGCAGCCUACACGCAUUGUGCAAUAGCCCGUUUCUAACAAUCUUUAAAAGACUAGCCUAGAAUAUGGCUCAAGAGUAUUAACUUUAAUACUCAAAUCUUCACAACACCAAUGUUUUAUAUUAUGUCAGUUAGGAAACUAGGCCAUAGAAAAUAAGUAUAAGGGGUGACCAAAAAUGGUGCCAGCAGUCGCGGUUAUACCAAUACCCCAAGCUAAUUUUAGCAAAUAGGAAUAACUUUUUAUUCGUAGACUACAAAAUCGACUUUUAGCGUAAAAAACAAAUUAUAACUAAACCCUACCCAGUCUUACUAAGGCUAUUCCAACAAACCAUAACCUCAGAACUCGGAUCAGAUACCCGACUACUGUAUGGCUCAACACUUAAAAGAAUACUACGAGCGAAAGCUUAAACCUCAAACAAUGUGGCGGUGCUUUAUUCCUCAUCAGGGGAUCCUGUGGCUUAAUUCGAUAACCCACGAAAAAUCUAAGCUAUUCUCGUUAACAGCUUGUGUAUGGCCGUUUAUGCUUGCUCACAAAAGAAAAAGAAGGAAGCAACAGGGCUAAUUACCCAAAAAUUCAGGUGACAUACAGCCAAUGAAAAGCAGGUCCAUGGGAUACAAAUAAACAUACUACCAAAUUUAAAGUUUAGAACCUUAAUGAAGGAGGACUUGAAAGUAAGAUUUAAUUUUUAGAAAAAAAAUCUGAAUAUGAACUAAAGCGCGCACAAAUCGCCCGUCACUCCGACAAUAAAGUAGGAUAAGUCGUAACACAGUAGAGGUAAUAGAAAUUGCCCCUAUAACAA